GCCGGUGUGAUGGAAUUGGCAGACGUGCGGGAUUCAAAAUCCCGUGGUGAAUAACCGUGUCGGUUCGAACCCGACCAUCGGCACCA
rnacentral:tRNA from 1 species